CUUUACUGCAACUUGACGUUGGAACUUGGCUGUCUUUGUGUAGGAUAGGUGGGAGACUUUGAAGCAGGGCCGCCAGGUCUUGCGGAGUCGUCGUUGAAAUACCCCCCUGGUGCUGACGAGUUUCUAACCGUGUCCGUAAGCCGGACAUGAGACAGCGUCUGGUGGGCAGUUUGACUGGGGCGGUCGCCUCCUAAAAGGUAACGGAGGCAUUCAAAGGUCCCCUCAGCGUGGUCGGUAAUCACGCGCAGAGUGCAAACGCAUAAGGGGGCUUAACUGCGAGACCGACAGGUCGAGCAGGUACGAAAGUAGGAGUUAGUGAUCCCGCGGUUUAGCGUGGAAUUGCCGGUGCUCAAUGGAUAAAAGGUA
rnacentral:rRNA from 1 species